rnacentral:rRNA from 1 species
CGGGAGGGCGCUUACCACUUUGUGAUUCAUGACUGGGGUGAAGUCGUAACAAGGUAACCGUAGGGGAACCUGCGGUUGGAUCACCUCCUUACCUGAAAGAA